UCAGAGUUUGAUCAUGGCUCAGGAUGAACGCUAGCGACAGGCUUAACACAUGCAAGUCGAGGGGCAGCGGGGGGUAGCAAUACCCGCCGGCGACGGGCGCACGGGUGAGUAACGCGUAUGCAACUUACCUAUCAGAGGGGGAUAACCCGGCGAAAGUCGGACUAAUACCGCAUGAAGCAGGGGCCCCGCAUGGGGAUAUUUGCUAAAGAUUCAUCGCUGAUAGAUAGGCAUGCGUUCCAUUAGGCAGUUGGCGGGGUAACGGCCCACCAAACCGACGAUGGAUAGGGGUUCUGAGAGGAAGGUCCCCCACAUUGGUACUGAGACACGGACCAAACUCCUACGGGAGGCAGCAGUGAGGAAUAUUGGUCAAUGGGCGUAAGCCUGAACCAGCCAAGUCGCGUGAGGGAUGAAGGUUCUAUGGAUCGUAAACCUCUUUUAUGAGGGAAUAAAGUGCGGGACGUGUCCCGUUUUGUAUGUACCUUAUGAAUAGGUAUCGGCUAACUCCGUGCCAGCAGCCGCGGUAAUACGGAGGAUCCGAGCGUUAUCCGGAUUUAUUGGGUUUAAAGGGUGCGUAGGCGGCCUUUUAAGUCAGCGGUGAAAGUCUGUGGCUCAACCAUAGAAUUGCCGUUGAAACUGGGAGGCUUGAGUAUGUUUGAGGCAGGCGGAAUGCGUGGUGUAGCGGUGAAAUGCUUAGAUAUCACGCAGAACCCCGAUUGCGAAGGCAGCCUGCCAAGCCAUGACUGACGCUGAUGCACGAAAGCGUGGGGAUCAAACAGGAUUAGAUACCCUGGUAGUCCACGCAGUAAUCGAUGAUCACUAGCUGUUUGCGAUACACUGUAAGCGGCACAGCGAAAGCGUUAAGUGAUCCACCUGGGGAGUACGCCGAGCUACGGUGAAACUCAAAGGAAUUGACGGGGGCCCGCACAAGCGGAGGAACAUGUGGUUUAAUUCGAUGAUACGCGAGGAACCUUACCCGGGUUUGAACGCAUUUCGACCGCUCUGGAAACACAUUUUCUAGCAAUAGCCGUUUGCGAGGUGCUGCAUGGUUGUCGUCAGCUCGUGCCGUGAGGUGUCGGCUUAAGUGCCAUAACGAGCGCAACCCUUGCCACUAGUUACUAACAGGUGAUGCUGAGGACUCUGGUGGGACUGCCAGCGUAAGCUGCGAGGAAGGCGGGGAUGACGUCAAAUCAGCACGGCCCUUACAUCCGGGGCGACACACGUGUUACAAUGGCGUGGACAAAGGGAAGCCACCUGGCGACAGGGAGCGAAUCCCCAAACCACGUCUCAGUUCGGAUCGGAGUCUGCAACCCGACUCCGUGAAGCUGGAUUCGCUAGUAAUCGCGCAUCAGCCAUGGCGCGGUGAAAUACGUUCCCGGGCCUUGUACACACCGCCCGUCAAGCCAUGGGAGCCGGGGGUACCUGAAGUCCGUAACCCGCAAAGGAUCGGCCUAGGGUAAAAUUGGUGAAUUGGGGGUAAUGUCGUUAA
rnacentral:rRNA from 1 species